UGCCAUGAUGUCGUAAUUUGCGUCUGACUCUGCACUCAGCGACAGUUGCCUGCUGUCACAAGGCUGGUGCAGGUGGUUGGUGACCAGCUAAUUCUGAGCA
ensembl:snoRNA SNORD16 Small nucleolar RNA SNORD16